GACGAACCGUGCGAACGUUAUUCGGAAUUACUGGGCGUAAAGGGCUCGUAGGCGGCCAACUAAGUCAGACGUGAAAUCCCUCAGCUUAACUGGGGAACUGCGUCUGAUACUGGAUGGCUUGGAUUCGGGAGAGGAAUGCGGAAUUCCAGGUGUAGCGGUGAAAUGCGUAGAUAUCUGGAGGAACACCGGUGGCGAAGGCGGCAUUCUGGACCGACAUUGACGCUGAGGAGCGAAAGCCAGGGGAGCAAACGGGG
rnacentral:rRNA from 1 species